rnacentral:rRNA from 1 species
AUUGAACGCUGGCGGCAGGCCUAACACAUGCAAGUCGAACGGUAACAGGAAGAAGCUUGCUUCUUUGCUGACGAGUGGCGGACGGGUGAGUAAUGUCUGGGAAACUGCCUGAUGGAGGGGGAUAACUACUGGAAACGGUAGCUAAUACCGCAUAACGUCGCAAGACCAAAGAGGGGGACCUUCGGGCCGCUUGCCAUCGGAUGUGCCCAGAUGGGAGUAGCUAGUAGGUGGGGUAACGGCUCACCUAGGCGACGGUCCCUAGCUGGUCUGAGAGGAUGACCAGCCCCCCUGGAGCUGAGACACGGUCCAGCCUCCUACGGGAGGCAGCAGUGGGGAAUAUUGCACAAUGGGCGCAAGCCUGAUGCAGCCAUGCCGCGUGUAUGAAGAAGGCCUUCGGGUUGUAAAGUACUUUCAGCGGGGAGGAAGGGAGUAAAGUUAAUACCUUUGCUCAUUGACGUUACCCGCAGAAGAAGCACCGGCUAACUCCGU